ensembl:lncRNA
AAUUAACACCGGACGACUCCUCAGCCGCCGGACGGCCCGGCAGCAGAGCCCUUUUUGCGGGAGGAAGGGCUGCAAGUCCCGCUUCCGCUUCCGCGCCGCUUCUAACCCGACAGCGGAAGUGCCGGGACCCCUAUAAACGGCACAAGGAAGCGCGACACGCACACGCCGUCGCGACGCCACGCUGCCAUCUAGGGCCCGCCGCUCCUUGUACGGGCACAGGAGGUGGGGCCUGCUGCCUGACGUCGAAGUCGAGGCGGGGCUCCGAUAGGGGGAACCUGGGGCUGGGGGCGGGGCCUAUGCAAAUCGCUGGGCUGAAACAUAAAUAGAGCACUCCGCGGACACGGGGGUGGCGGGGGCGGCCGGGUUGGAUGCGCGGUGGGUUGUGAGAAUGUCAGGCUCCUGUGACGCGGGAGGCGGGGCCCAGGCGGGGUUCCCGCGGGAGGGGGCGGGCCGCCGGGCCGGGCCUGAGGUGGGUGGGUCCCUGCGCCCCCUGCCUGCUCAACUUCCCUCUCCAGCUCCCGGCUCGUCUUUGAUGUCCGACAAAGUCUGACCCUGGGCGUAUGUGUCUGUGGCUCUAUAGGCCUGUGUCCUGGACGAGGUACUUGACAAACUGUGCUGGAACCUGCCUCAUCUCCUGCCACCUCAGAGCUUUCAGGUCCUCUGAAGACUACGUCUGGAAGGCCUCCCAGCUGCCUGCACACAUGCAGGGACAAGGCAUGGAGUAUUCAAGCGCCUUUUGGAGCAAGCUUUUCACCAUCUUGUACUGCCUGACUCAGAAGAUAAGAAUGAGGGGAUCUCAGUCUUUUGACGAUGUGCCAGCUGUGCUGUACAGGAAGGGAGAGAAUGAGCGGAGCUGCCGGAGGAGGGAUGUGCAGUCGAGUGUAGGAAGAACUGCCGCUGCCAGCCUCCACGUGCUGGAGGAGCUCACGGAAGGAGCUGCAGGGUCCCCACAGGCAGACUUCUCACCCGCAUCGACCGAGCACCUUCUGGAGAUUCCCUGAAUUGGAUAAUCCCAAUGUACCCCAAACAUGCGAAACAAACUGGCAUCUACGAAGGCAGAAACAGUGCUCCAGGCUUACCCGACCCUUCUACAAAGAUGAGUUCUCAAGCAAUGGCAACCAAAUGCAGUCACUGACAACACUUUUUAACCAAGUGAGCCACGGCGCCGGCCCCAAAACAACACUUUUUAAAAGGUGAAUUGGGGCUAGCGCUGUAGCAUAGCAGGUAAAGCCACCGCCUGCAGUGCACAUGGGCACUGGUUCAAGUCCCAGCUGCUCCACUUCUGAUCCAGCUCUCUGCUGUGGCCUGGGAAAGCAGUGGAAGAUGGCUCAAGUCUUUGGGCCCCUGCACCCGCAUGGGAGACCCGGAAGAAGCUCCUGGCUUCUGGCUUCGGAUCGGCACAGUUCCAGCCAUUGCAGCCAAUUGGGGAGUGAACCAGCAGAUGGAAGACCUCUCUCUCUCUCUCUCUCUCUCUCUCUCUCUCUCUCUGCCUCUCUUUCUCUGUGUAACUCUGACUUUCAAAUAAAUAAAUAAAUCUUUUAAAAAUGUGAAUGAAG